GGUGAAUUAUGAUCAUGCCGGCAUCGGCAUGGCCUCAGAUCUCUCCUCAUCAUCGAUCGUCUUAUGAACUGCCCCUGUCAUACAUGGCAGCGAAGGAGCUCUGCUGAUGCAUGUAGCCGUACAUUGCUGUUGCUUCUGUGGCGUCUGCCUCCGGCUCUGGCCCGCAGUCGAGGUUGACACCGAACAGCCUGAGCCGCCUCGACGGUGCUGAUCCUGCACUGAAGCUUGGGCUCCUGCUUUCCGUGUCGCGUGGAGACUCUUCUACAGUUGAUCAUCAGAAAAUGGUAUGAGCAGGAAGGCUCGAGGAAAAUGUGAUUGUAAUCUCACGUGGCCUUAUCAUUGCCUACUCUUGCUUUCUGCUAUGAGGCUUCAAGUUCCCAAACUCCAGGAUCAAGAAUGAACCAAUACAGACAUCCCCUUCACCGAUAUGUUCUCCAUACUAAACAGGUCACCAAUGCAGAUAUCCAACUAAUCACUGAAUCAGGUUUGGUUUUUCCAUGCACAUGAAUGGAUUGGCAUCUCAAUGGAAUUGAAUACAAGAUAAUUCAAGAUGAGGGGCCACAUGCUAAUGCUUCUCAAUUUUUUAUUGUUGUGGUCUCGGUUCCUUUCCACAAGACCAUGCAUGGUGCAUGCAUGUUUUGCCAAACUCAUGUGGAUAAUUUAGUAAACUCUUGUGCUGCAUGUUACUCUUUGUCAUUCUUAGGUGCAUGACACCAUCGGAAGUAUUUAAAAAAAAAGGCAGAACCUCAAAUUAAAAUGUUUCCAUUGUACUAACAUUUAGGGUUCCUGCUCUAGAACGCUUGAAUUUCUAGAAAAUUCCUCCAUUCAGAGACUUUGACAUAUACAAAAGUAUCUAAUCAUGCUGAACUAAUGUUAGCGUAACAUUCUAUCCUAUUUCAUAAUUUCCAUAUAGUUCGUCCAUUGAAAAAAUUGCCAUGAUUUUUGUUUGUGUUUUGCAAAACGUGAUGCUGGAAUCUUGCAUAAUGGUGUGAAAUCUGUUUGUAAUAUUCCUAGGGGUUAAACUGUUUGGAUGUUGGGGGACCAUGUUCUUGCUGGUAUACUAGUUAGCAUCAUUUUGCAGCUGCUGUUGUUUAUGCGCUGCCUAAGUUUCUGUACCUGCGCAGCUAAAAUUUUGCGAUCUUUUUGGCAGAUCUCUGCGCGUGUGCGUGAGAAUGCGUAUUCCAGAUGAUCUAAACUGGAGCUUUUCUCGCGCACUGGUGAAGACUGACGUGAUUGAGAUCGGAGGUGACGAGGAGAUGAUGGGGGAGAGAAACAGAGGUGGCCGACGAAGCUCGAGCGGCGAAGGUGGGUGCCGUCGGCGCCGCUCACCACUCAGGGUAGCAAAAGGGGAUGGAGCUAGGGGGACCGCACACAGGUACGACUUCGUUCAACGUGUUGCUUGAGCAGUGCCUAUGACGAGGAAUGUGUGCCUUCUGCGGGGCGUGGGCGACUUUGCAGGGACAUGGUUCUGUCUGAGGUGGCGAGCUGGUGCUGACAUGGAGGGCUAGAGCCACUUGCCAUCUCACCGCAAAGUGAAUGGCCUUGCAUUUUUAUUUUUCCAUCUGAUGGCACCCUUGUGACUGUAACGGCUUGGAGUAGAUGAGAACCAGUCUUGAAGAAAUUUGAGGUGAAGCUGUGGAAUGAAAGAAAGUAGGAGCUGCAGUGUAGAGCUUGUUGAUAUGACGUUAAUUGGGCGCGGCCGGGCACUACAUGCUUGAAGGGGAUGGCGAGGCCGGCAGCGGCGAUGGCACGACGCCGGGGAUGGCGAGGCGACUGUGGCAGGGAUGGCGCAGUGAUGGGCGUAGGCGCGCGACAGCAGUCGAACGCGGGCGCUCCCGUCCUAGCGACGAGGGGCGGUGCAGAUCUGCAAGCAAGCAAUUUUAUUGGGAGGAGGAGGAGGACGGCGAGGCGACGGUGGCAGCAGUGAUGGCGAGGCCGACGGCGAGGUGAAGGCACGGUGAGGCGAUGACGGCAGGGGGAUGGCGCGGCCGGCAGCUGCAGGGGUGACGGCGAGGCGACAGCGGGCGACAGCGAGGCACCGGUGGCGAGGGAGAUGGCGCAGCAACGGCGGGGACGGGUGGGCGACGGCGGCGGUGGGGAGAGCAGCGGAAGCGUCGGCGCUAGUUUCGGCGCGUCGUUUCUACGCGUGAUUUAGGCUGGAUAGGUGAGGGCUGAGGGGAAACAGACGAGGGUAAAAAUAGAAAGAAAAUGUGGACCGUUUGAUCUAAAGCAGAUGAUAUCAGCCGUUGGAUCUGUCUAAUGAGUAAAUGAGUAAAACCUCUUGGUGCACUAUAGGGUAGAUAUGGUAAUUCUGAUGACCGCGACAAAUUCGGCCUUCAAAAAUAUAAAUUUAAAAUCAACGAUAAGGAUUGAUUUGUCACGCUUAUUGCACGGUUAACCCUUGUUUGAAGUGGAAAAUGGCGUUUGUUGAA